rnacentral:lncRNA from 1 species
CUCUGAGCUGGGCUCUCCUGGUCAGAUUUCUGUCCCCAAGGCAGUAACCUUACCUCUGUUCCCUCAUUUUUUAGAAUCUGAAAGCAGGUGAACUUCCCCAACCUGGUUGUCUGGAUGACUGUAAUUUGGGAGACAUUUUCCUAGGAGUGGAGUAUAUCUUUCAGCAGUGCAAAGAAAACGAGGAUUACUACGACACGCUGACUAUGUACCGCCAGGAGGAGCAAGUGCUGGAGGAGUUGAGGCGUCGAACAGGAGCAAGGCUCCAGCCCCUGAGCAGGGGCCUCUUCUGAUGCAGUGGAGGCUCCAGGUUCCAGGACUUGUUGGAGGGGUGUACCUAGAACCAAGGAGCUCCAGACUGCCGCUGUACUGGUCGUGCUGUGCUGGGGGCCACAGAGGCGCCAGCCCAUGCUGAGGCUAAAUUCUAGGAGUGGAACUUGGUUUCUUGCACUACCAGAGAAGUAUCUGUCCCUUUGUUUAGGACACAGCAGAUUGUUUUCUUACUAAGCAGAAUAGUUGUAAGCCUUUACAGUGGAGGGAGGGAAUGGUAAACCCCAUAUGCUUCUUGAGGGUCUGCCAGUCUUCCACCCUGAAGAACUGAAGAGCUUUGGUGAAAAGCUUUGUCUACCCCUGCAGCCUGCCUGGGAGUGGACACCACCGCCCAGAGCACCCAUGCUUCCUCCUUCCUAGGGACAGCUCCUGCAGAUGCACAUGCUGGAGAGUGCUGGAGUCUCACCCUCAGGUUCUCUGUGCCUGAGCCUUGCUACCCCUGAGAAGAGUGACUAGGACAAGGGUGGCCUGCCAGCAAUAGGUGCACCAUACUUGACCUGAAUGGAUGCCACCGACACAGAGGCUCCUCCCUCUCAUCUCCCCCAAGA